rnacentral:lncRNA from 1 species
UAUAGAGAGAGAGAGAAUGGGGCUAUUAAUUGUACUAUUAGAAAAAUUGUAGUCCUUAUAUUCCUAAUUAACCAUCUAUCAAUUUUGAUGGGUUGUUAAGAUGAGAAAGAUAAGAGCAAUUAGAGAAAAAUUCAAAAAGAAGAGAAAUUGAGACAUUUAAUUUCUCUUCUAUCUCUUAUCCUAACUAUUCAUCAAAAUUGAUGGAUGGUUAGAAAGUUAAAAGCAUGGCUGCUAUGCUCCUAAUAGUAUAAUAGUCCUACUAACUGGAAUAUUAUUAAGAGUAUUUGAACUCUUUUGCUAUCGAGUUUUUAACCGUUGGAUGAAAAGUUUUGGAGUUAGGAUGAUAGUAGUCUCAUAGGGUCUAGUGGUGGUUCUUCUAGGGUUGAGUGGUGGUUGGUUGAAUAGUAUGAUCUAAAGGGUGAAAUCGAUUAAAGUAUAAAUCUAACGGCUAAAAAAUUGAUAGCAAAAGAGCCCAAAUACGAGCCCAAAUACUAUUAAUAGUAUAGAAUUACGUUACUAUACUAUCGAUAGUACUAAGCGCUUGAUGUUAUCGAGUGUUCAACCGUUGGAUGAAAAGAUGUGCAGUUAGAUGAUAGUGGUUCUCUAGGGUUGAAUGAGUGGUUGGUUGAAUAGUACGAUAUAACAUAUGAGAAUGAAAAUGAUAGAUCUAAUGGCAGAAAACUUGAUCGUACCAAAAGUUUGAUACUAUCAAUAGCAUAUAUAGUAGCUGAACUCUCUCUCUAUAUAUAUUUUACACAAUAAAGUGCAAAAUGUAUUAGUGAUGAAAUCACCAAUAUUUAUGCCUAUAUAUUAUUCUAUCUAAAUUUACUAUAUGACAAGAUUCCUUUCAUUAUUGGGUGUUGGCUCUAUCUCGAACCGACUCAAGUCCUUUACAUAUUUUUCUCUUUCUUUGCUAGAACCGAGCAAAUUUUUCUCUUUCGUUUGAACCGAACCAAUCAUUGUUAAGCGUGGGCUCUCCGAGCCAACUCAAGUCCUUCACAUAUUUUUCUCUUUUUUUGAUGAAGCAAACUGAAUAUUUCUCUUCUUUUGCUUGGACCAAAUCGGAUCACACCUCUGCAUUGAGUCAAACUGUUGCUCUUUCACUUUUUGUUUUUUUUUUUUUUGUUUUCUGUCGUUACCUUCCUCCAUCAGUAAAAUGAAUCCCACAUUAUCAUCAUUUCUUAAUUCAUCACUGUUUUUCCUUUCAGUGUCGUCGUUUUCUUCUUUUUUUUUUUUUUCUAAUUAUCU